AAAACAAUACUGGCAUAUGCACCCCACCCCCAUGAUUCUGAUUUAUUUGGUCUAGAGUGGGGGCCCUGAGUAUAAAAUCUUCCCAAGGGGUGGGAACCAUAGUAUUAAUGCUCAAUACAUAUUUCUUGCCUGAAUGAACACAGCUCACUCUACAAUUAACGUCAGCAUAACCACACACAACAAAUUAUAUGUGAGAGUGUUUUUAUAUUGAUUUCUAUUCCUCCUUAAUAGGAAUCGGCCGAAUCUCUUUGCCAGCAAUUGUCUCUAUUCUAGUCGAUAUCAGAGUUUUCUUAACACCCUCUCCACCGUUUUUCUCCUUUUAUUUAUGUUACUACCUCUUCUUGGUCACUCUAGGAUGCAUUGGGAAUCUGGCUUCCUCAUAUCAAGAUCCUUGUAAUGAUUGCCUGAUGAGUGAGUUCAUCAGCUGUAUUUAAAAAGUGUUGCCAUACCCCAAGCUCCUCAAAAUGCCCUGUGCGCUCUUUAUUUACUUGAGUCUGUAGCGUCUUCUUCCCAGAAGCCUUUGUUCUGAGCCAUGCUGGCCUGGGUUGGGAGGAGGAGUAAAAAGAUCCACUUCCAAGUUGAAGCUGCACUGAGAAGGCAGCUCCACGGUGCAGAAGUCAAGGAUCCCACGACUCCGUUGUGCAAAGGGGCUCACCCCUCCGUCUCCUUUCCUCAGCCGGAAUAUUACUCAUUCUUGUUUUCUGAGUUUAAUAGUUAUACCCUGCUGUAUCCAUUUUAAUAUUUUAUUCCAACAUGAAUUUUAGUGUAAGAAAGUCUUUCAAAAAAGAAGUUGCCGAAAGCAUACUAUCUGCAGUGCCCAGAACAUUCUGAGGAUUUCUGAGGAACAGAAAGUAGACUACUUCUUGUCACAAAAUGCCUGCCCCAGGAGAGACAGUGCCUUCUGGAAGGGACAAGAUCAAAUGACAGGAGCGGAAUGCUUUACAAGUUCCGAAGCUUGGCACAAAUGAUCAUUGGUAUCAAAAUUAUACUAUCACCAAAAGAAGAAUAAAAAAGCACCCUGCUUACCUGCGUAAAACUUUUCAUCUUACUUGCAAGCUACUGGUGCAGCCAGACCACACAGUCUCGAGAACGUCAGCUCCAGAAGGCCGAGGACUGUCCACUGUCUCCUUCAUCCUGGCACCGAGAAUGAGACACAGCUCCUAAAAGGGACAAGGACAGAAUUCAUGCCGCUGCAUAAGGGACGAGGAAAUAUGACGCAGGUGCUGUGGAUUAAUCCCUUUUUGCAGCAUUUCCAGCUGUGGAAUGCACACCUGAGAAACAGCGUUCAGCUGGCGGAACCAAGACCUGGGGAGGAACCAGCUUUGCUGUGUCCACCGCCUCAGACCCUGCUUCUUUGAUUCCAGUGACUAAUUCGCUUCUUUUCCUCACACAUGCAUUCUUCAUUCCUCUAACUUGAGAAGAACCUGAGGCUAAUUGCGUAAUUGCCCCUCCUCCAAGAGAUCAAUAAUAAGUUUUCCUGAACGUGGGAUUCACCCAUGUCAAGGUGGAGGGAGAAGCUACCCUUUAAAUUCUAUUAUCCUAAAGGCUUUCGUAUCACAAAUCUGGCAAAUGAGAACAGAUGCUGCUCGACGAACUAUGCUAUGCAAUGCUAUCCAGUGCUAUACGAAAAAAUGCUGUACUACAUGAACAAAUGAUACUCUUUGUCUCCCAUUCCCCAGUGGUCAUCUUGUGAUUGAGAUGUCCGCUUGUUCUCUUUCUUUAUGUUAUCUUCAUGUUCCAAUUCAAAAUCCUUCUACAUUUCAUACCUUUAUGGAAACAUCCAGUACAAACAGGCAUUGCCUCUCAAGCAACUUUUGUUUCUUGAACAUCUGUAAUCUUACUGCACUCUCGGUCAGAGAGAAUCACUGGAAUCUUUUCUCCUCAGCAGAUUGCCUAUUCCUGCAUGGUAGAUGUUUUACUCAGGAC
rnacentral:lncRNA from 1 species